CUGGCAACAGAGCAGAACCAGCAAAACAAAAAAAGAACAUUUGUAUUCGGUUUUCUUAAAGAACAAUUUCCAUUUCCCAAAUGCAUUUUUGUAUGGGUUAGAAGUUUAGACAAGAGUCAAACCAAUUUAAAAUUGUCUUGGUCUCGUUUCACUCCUAUGAAAAUCUUCUGAUUUAAUUAUAGUUUUAAAAUAAUAUAAACUACGAGAGAAUGAAGAAGUUAGAUGUUCGUCAAAUUCUGGCUGAGAGGAAUGAAAGGAAGAAACGUGAAAUGGAGUUGAAUGGCUUUCCGACAGACGGCAAUGAUUCUUUGCCCAUGACACCAAGCUUUUCAGAUUCCAUCCUGAUUGAAUCAUCAUCCCAGGGAUAUUCAUCACAGAGCAACACAGAGAAGAAAUUGAAUAGUUUUUCAAUGUUGGAUAUUUUUGAUGAGAAACAGAUCUUUCGUCUUUUUUCAGAGGAUGCAGUAAAUUUUUCUUGGCUUGAUAAAGAUGCAAGGGUUAAAGAUGUUCCGAAAAUGUCCCAUGCAGAUCUGAAGAACUAUUUACAGUCAGAAAUAUUGGCCAAGCACUGUAGGCGUUCACAUAGCACUAGCAAUCUGGCAUGUAGAUACUUGUUUUUCUUAAUGUCUGCAACUGCUAGCAAAGAUGUGAUGCAAACUUGCCUUAAGAUACUUCAAGAAAAAAUAUCUGAUACAAAUGAGCCUUUCUCUGUCCUAGUGCCAGACUUACUCGUAGUUCUAAUGAAUUAUGGCACAUUGAGCAGUAAACUCUGGUCUGACGGGAACCAUAUUUCCUUUCCUCGUGCCUUUCGAGUCUAUCCCUUGAAUUCAUUUGAUUCAGAAUUAAAUCGUAGUUUGCCUUUCCCUCGUUUAAAUUUGGAAAAAGUAUUAUCCCUCUUGCGCUUUAACAUAACAACAUAUCCCUAUUUCUCCGAGUCCGAGAAAGGAGGCUUACUUCACCUGAUGCUCAACCUAUCAAUGGCGAAUUUCAUAGUGGGAGAUACUUUUCUCAUCCUCAUAAUUAGAGACAUUAUAUGCGCAAUUCUUGAGAGCUUCAGAGCAGAAGAAUGGACGGAGCUUGAUUUCAAAAUGGUGGAAGAACUUGCUUUACAGUGUUGGAGUGAUGAAUUGGAUGCAAUGGAAAUUGUUCAACGAAUUAGUUUUAUACCGACGACGACAAGCCGUGGAGUGCAGCUUCGGCAAUCUGCCGCUUUCCUUGCAAUCCAACAUCUUAUGGAUUUGGAAGAAAUUACUGUUUGUGGCCGUGUUUUAGUGGAAGACGUUUAUCGAUUGGUUCUCUUAUUGAGUCGAAAUAAUUUCAAAAAUUACCGGAUAUUAUUCGGUAUCGUUACUCUGUUCAGUUUUACCCUGGAUUCGAAUGACUCAUCGUUAGACAAAGAGAAAAUGACGAAUCUUUACGUAGCGAUGAAUGAAGCCCGACAUAGAAUCAGAGACAUUUCGGAUCAAUUGGAUACUGCCCCUAUGCUUGUCAAAAAUCUCAUGUGUGAGGUCUCUCUCAUGUGGAAGGAUUCCAUUCCCAUUGAAAAUGUUGUGAGUUUUGUAAUCCAUCCGCCUUUACCAGCAAUUCGAGAAAUUUCUGAACCCGCAAUAUAACGGAGGAUUGUAUUACGUCCGUCGUUCUCACCUGGUACCAGUAUCUGAUCUGAUUUUGUCACAUUUGGAAUGUCCCGACCCUUCUUGCAGCUGUCAGACGCCAAAGAACUCGAAUUUUCGCCAACGUCCACUGUCUCUUCAGUACUACUCGGAAGAUUUGCGGUUCCGGUUCUUUUUGCGCUUUUUUCGGCCACUUUUCGCUUAGCACUUUUAUCAGCACUGUUGAUCGUUUGGGACAUGUUUGGCAAUUCAAACUGCUUCGCGUUCGGGACGUCGCGUCUUUUGUGGACGAAUAUGUACCACGGUAGAAUAAUAAUUGCAUCGACCAGAAAAGACAUUGCUGUGAAUUCCAUGAUGGUAGAUUUUUGAAAUUAUUCAAUCUUGAAAGGCGUUGUCGUAAAGCUAUAGAAUACUGUUUCAAUAUUUUUCUAAAUUCGAAGCGAUGGAAUGGUUCUGGAUUCUGCGGUAUUUCUGAUUAUGUCAAGUCUCUAGAUGGUGUUGUGUUUGAAAGCCGUAGGAAACUUAUUCAGUGUUUUCCUUAGUAAAAAGUGCAGUUUAUCUGCUCUUCCAUGUAAUGAAACCCCUUAACAUGUGGCCGUUGCCAAGGAUUUCACUAAACCGGAACGCAAAUCUAAGGACGCCGCUAAUUUUUCGGUUGAUAAAUUUAGUUUUUAUUUACGCACCAAAUUCUGUAUGGUAAAUAUUUCCCCAUCAAAUCGUCCAAAUGUGAAAUGCUUGUACAAGUUUAGCUUGUCAUCUUGGGAUAGCCGCUAUCGUGUUGGCAUCAAAGAUUAUGACGAAAAGUAUAGUCGACUCUGAAGCAAUGCUAGUUUUGGAUAAACUCUCUCUCCGUUAAUGUUUCGUGUGGCCAUUUGAAUAGGAAAGCAAGUUGGAACUAGAAAAACGAAAAUCGGUGGAAGGUUUCCCAUUUCCCAAAUAACGUAACCCGAUGUAAGUAUUGCGAUUCGUCGGUCCUAUUCGCCGUAAAUUUAUUGCGAUUAGAACGUUGAGACACCGUCUUUAGUUUCAAUAAUUCAGAUUUAAACUUAAUAUACUUAACAUCGGGAAAAUUUUCGGCUGGGCCGCAGCGCAAGUUAGAAGUCACUAAUGUGUCAUUGUGGCUGCCUUAUCGGCGAAGACUUUCAAUGCUGGGAAAAAAUCUUCACAUAUGGGCAGAAUUAGGGAAGGAGGUAAAACGAAUCCAUAGGUUCCAGUAUCGCCCAAUUCGACGGCGUAUGUGUAUUUGAUGCCAAUAGAUUUCGCCCAGUCAGCCGAGCUACCUGCAUAAAAAUAAAUCCGAGAGUCGUAGUUAAAAGCGAAGAGGGAUCAGUCCUAAACAAGCGCACAUACCAGAAGAUGGGUAAAGCAAUUGGGCUGUGUUGCCUACAGAAUACUUGAAACGUACAAAUUUCGACGCAGCAUUUUCUGCCAAUGCUAACAGUUCAUCAUAAUCUGUUGGGUAAAGGACAUCAUAAGCCCAAGGAAGGAUUAUAUACUGACCAUAACUAUGAAGGAUUAGAUUUACUUUAAUGUUGGUCGAUUUGCCCUGAAUGAAUUUUGAAACGGCAGCUGUUUCCCGCUCGGAAAAAGCAGCGGAUCCCCGAAAAGUCUCAGCGCAAGGGUUUCGGCUAGCGCCCAAUCCUCCCCACUGUUGAACACGUAGGAAUGUGAGUGACAAUAAAUCAAGCCUUGGACCAUCAGAUAGGAAAAGAAAUAAAAGUGGAAGAAUACCUUGUAACCAAAGUUCCGGUUGUGAUCAACGCCUCGACAAAAUAACGCAGCCUUGGAACGACUUUUUCGCCAUAGACGAUUUCUCUUGAAACAUGACAUAACUACAUUUCAAAUACCGUCAGGAUUCAUCACGGGCAUAAUGUACCAAACAAGGUUAGUCGAGAGCUCCGCGUUACCAGCAACUUCUACAAGUUGUUGGAUAAAAUAGGUCGCAACGGCUGGUGAUGUAAAUGAGACUGUCGUUGAACCUUACCCCCGUCGAUCCAAAUGGCUGGCUUAGUGUCCGGAGAUGAAGCUGAUGAGAUGCGGACAACGUAAAGUGGCCGACCUUCGUAUGACCAGCCAAUGUCAAUCAAUGUGACGAUUUGCGGAAAACUAUUGGCCAGAUAAGUCAGGUACGGGAUUUCAACAUCGGCCAAACGUAAUUUCAAUUCCGGCUGGAAAUCUGGAGGUAUCAAUACAUCCACUGUGCCGUUUCCAGAUCUGCUUUCUUGCCACACAUCGAGUUCUUUUCAUUAUCACGAG